UACGUAGGGUGCAAGCGUUAAUCGGAAUUACUGGGCGUAAAGCGUGCGCAGGCGGCUUUGCAAGACAGAUGUGAAAUCCCCGGGCUUAACCUGGGAACCGCAUUUGUGACUGGCAGGCUAGAGUAUGGCAGAGGGGGGGUAGAAUUCCACGUGUAGCAGUGAAAUGACGUAGAGAUGUGGAGGAAUACCGAUGGCGAAGGCAGCCCCCUGGGCCCAAUACUGACGCUCAUGCACGAAAGCGUGGGGAGCAAACGAAGG
rnacentral:rRNA from 1 species